rnacentral:misc_RNA from 1 species
ACAUUCGGUUUUGUAAUGUAAAGAGGAAAAAGGACUUCAUUUGUUUGGAGAGGGUUAAUGGGAAGAUUGUGAAUAUACUUGAUGGCUUGGAGCUACAUACUGGUGUCUUCAGCAUGGCUGAGCAAAAUAGGAUAGUUAAAUUUGUGGAGAAACUUGAGGAGAUAGGGAAGAGUGGACAGUUAAAAGAGCGAACUUAUACAGCGCCACAGAAAUGGAUGAGGGGCAAGGGACGUGCGACAAUCCAAUUUGGUUGUUGUUACAACUAUGCUACAGACAAAAAAGGCAACUCCCCAGGGAUUCUCAAGAGUGAAACUGUUGACCCGUUGCCUGAUCUUCUUAAGAGCAUGGUUAGAAGGCUUGUAAGAUGGCAUGUAUUGCCUCCAGAUUGUGUUCCAGACAGCUGUAUUGUCAAUAUUUAUGAUGUGGGAGAUUGCAUACCACCUCAUAUUGACAGUCAUGAUUUUUUUCGUCCAUUUUGUACUGUUUCUUUCCUCAGCGAGUGCAAUGUAGUGUUUGGAUCAAACUUGAAAAUUGUAGGUCCGGGUGACUUUGCUGGUGCAAUUGCAAUUCCCCUGCCAAUGGGGUCUGUACUCGUCUUGAAUGGGAAUGGAGCUGAUGUAGCUAAACAUUGUGUGCCAGCUGUUCCUACCAAAAGAAUAUCAAUUACGUUUAGGAGAAUGAAUGAAUCUAGAAGACCAAUUGGAUGUGCUCCUGAACAGGAUUUACUAGGUCUUCAGCCUAUAUCCCAUGAAGCAGAUAGAUAUGAAAAAUCAAAAACCUAUAAACCAUGGCACUCAAAGUAGUUGAGACAAGGACCUGAAAACAGUUGGGAAGACGAGAAGAGAAUAAGGAAAUAGUAAAGAUAUCAUUCAAAGCCAUAUUUUCUAUAAAUAGGGAAAGUGUCAGGGUUUCUAUAGAUGAUUAGACGCAUGUCGUGACUAUGCAGAUUGGUCCAUCAUCUUCUGCAAUUAUGAGAAAUUUUGGUGUUGUUGUGCUCUCAUUUUAUUUUUCAAACCUGGAUAUCUUGAUUUAGGCUCGAUAUGUGAUCUUGCGAGUUUCCACG